CUUUUUCCAAUUCAGGGACCAAAUUGAUAAUUUUUAAAAAACAGGGACCUAAUUGAAGAAAACCAACAAAAAUAGGGACCACUGGAUCUAUUUAACCUUAAUUUAAUUUCACAAAGUUUGUUGAGUUGGGUUUUAUGUCUUUAAUUUGGUGUUGCACUUCAAUUACUUUAAUUAUGUUUAGGUAUUUGUUAGUUUUAGUGUUGGGUUUAAGGUUUUCUUUUACUUAAUGUUUUCUAUUUUUGGUAGUGUUAAUUUGACUGUGAUGUUAGCUUAGGUUAGUUGGUUGGUUAUUAAUACAAUUGCAUUGGUUGGUAGUAUUAAUUUAGUUUAUCCGCAUUCACAAUCCUCUCACAAACCC
rnacentral:lncRNA from 1 species